rnacentral:rRNA from 1 species
AACGAACGCUGGCGGCAGGCUUAACACAUGCAAGUCGAACGCCCGUAGCAAUACGGGAGUGGCGGACGGGUGAGUAACGCGUGGGAACGUGCCCUGAGGUACGGAAUAACUGCGGGAAACUGCAGCUAAUACCGUAUGAGCCCCGCAAGGGGGAAAGAUUUAUCGCCUUAGGAGCGGCCCGCGGCGGAUUAGCUAGUUGGUGGGGUCACGGCUUACCAAGGCUUCGAUCCGUAGCUGGUCUGAGAGGACGAUCAGCCACACUGGGACUGAGACACGGGCCAGACUCCUACGGGAGGCAGCAGUGGGGAAUCUUGCGCAAUGGGGGCAACCUGACGCCGCCAUGCCGCGUGAAUGAUGAAGGCCUUAGGGUUGUAAAGUUCUUUUGCCCGUGACGAUGAUGACGGUAACGGGAGAAUAAGCUCCGGCUAACUUCGUGCCAGCCGCCGCGGUAAGAC